CUGAACUUCAAACUGCUGCCCACACAGCUAAGAAUAAGAGAUAAGAGCCACUGGACAAGUAUAUCAUUUGCUAGAGACGAAUUGUGAGAAGAACACACAACUCCAUCAACGAGACUGGAGGACACCAAAAUCUGGAGUCUCAACCAGGGACUUUGGCUGGAAUGAAGGCAACACUAGAAGAAUAUCCUGGGAAGGGUAUCAAUUUUUCCCACGCAGUCCCAGUAAGACCAAAAAGACUUCAUCCUGUCAUUGCCUUGAUGGAAGGCAAUGGAACCUCCAUGUAAAGUUCAAUGCUUAUCAUUUCACUCAUCUGUGGAGUUUAAGAAACAAAACAAAUUAACAAACG